GAUGAACGCUAGCGGCAGGCUUAAUACAUGCAAGUCGAGGGACAGCACAGGUAGCAAUACUGGGUGGUAACCGGCAAACGGGUGCGGAACACGUACACAACCUUCCUUUAAGUGGGGGAUAGCCCAGAGAAAUUUGGAUUAAUACCCCGUAAUAUAGUUGAAUGGCAUCAUUUGAUUAUUAUAGCUACGGUGCUUAAUGAUGGGUGUGCGGCUGAUUAGAUAGUUGGCGGGGUAACGGCCCACCAAGUCUACGAUCAGUAGCUGAUGUGAGAGCAUGAUCAGCCACACGGGCACUGCGACACGGGCCCGACUCCUACGGGAGGCAGCAGUAAGGAAUAUUGGUCAAUGGACGCAAGUCUGAACCAGCCAUGCCGCGUGAAGGAUUAAGGUCCUCUGGAAUGUAAACUUCUUUUAUUUGGGACGAAAAAGGGCCUUUCUAGGUCAACUGACGGUACCAGAUGGAUAAGCACCGGCUAACUCCGUGCCAGCCGCCGCCGUAAUAC
rnacentral:rRNA from 1 species